ACUGACUGCAGCUGUGGUUUCUGAAUAUGAUUUGCACAAGUCUGGGCCGCUCACACUUCCCGGUGGAUGAGGGUGGAGCCCUUGAGACUACUGGCAAUUAACAUUUGCUGAGGGAGAGGAGUGUCAUUUUCCUCCGUGGUAUAAGUCACAGAUGAGCUGCCCCUGCGCCCUUGAAUAACCCCCACACCCACCCUCAGGCACGUGACUAAUUAAACUCAGUGGGCCACAUGCAGAAAGAAGAAAAGGAGAUAUCCAUAAACACGAUUUCUCCUCCAGAGGUUAACAUUCAAGUCUUGGUUCCUUUUUUCUCGGGGCGGUGGGGCUGAAAUGCGAAGUAAAGUGCCUUAAACAGAACAUAACUGAUCAACAGGUGACUGGACUUGGAUUCGUUAAAAAAAAAAAAAAAGGUCAGCAGUUUAUUUUGACGGGGAUUUGAGGGUGUGUUUCUGCGUGUGGAGGAGAGCAAGGCGUCUGGUUCCUGCAGCUGUUCUCACUUAAGGAUUUGUGAUUUCAUUUCUGCAGACAGCUCCAUAGUCCAUGUUCCUGACCAAGGAAUGUUCUCUGUAAGGCAGAGACCAUGGCUCCUCAGCCUUGCUCUGCGCUGUCCAGAAGGAAAUUGUUAAACACCUCCAGCUUUGUCUUUCUGAAUUCUUUUUUUUUUCUUUUUUUCUGGAGCUGAGGACCGAACCCAGGGCCUAAAUCCCCAACCCCGUCUUUCUGAGUUCUUGACUCUCAUCUGUAUACACAUCUUCAUUGCAGAGAUCUGUAGUGGGUAGCCAUUCCAGCCUUGAUCUGGAAGCUCCAACCCCCAUUGAGGCUUCGGUAACUGUCACGCCUACAAGGCGGGGCCAAGAGAGGACCCUGAAGACCUGAGAUCCGGAUGUGUGGGCUCUCUUGGUUCCUGGACCCUGGACACUGGAGCUAGACCGAGCAGAGUUCUCCAGAGAACACCGCCGGACUGCGCCACACCUUUCCCAGACCCUGCAACCUACCUAUCCCUUCAUUUGUAAGUUACGCCACUAAAUAAACCUCCCUUUUAACUAUG